GAGGACCUGAAAAUUAAAACUGAAAUAAAAUAAGCAAUUAACAAGCUUUGGGCAGUAGGUCAAAUUUCAAUUUCUCUACUUUUUCCUUUCUAGUCCCAACUGUUUAUUAACUGAAGUUCAUGGAAUACAUCUGCAUGCCCCUACAAUAAGAGACAGCGACCUGCUGAUACUAAGUUCAUAUAAAGCUGCCCAUCAUCAUCAUAUGAUUCAUUCUGUAUGAAAAGACAUGAAGAAAUCUAAGGAGAGAAAAAUAAAGGCCCUGAUCCACAUAAAAGUGAUUCUGAAGCUCUGCAGGAGGUUAAGGUGGCAGAUUUCAGCUGCAGUGGAUGGGCCAAUUCAGUUUCCAAGUCUGUCGUCUUUCUCCUGGAACCAGAAGGUUAGUCCAUCCUCUUUUCACGGUGAUGCUGAGGUGCAAAAGAGCAAAUAUUUAGUAUUAAAGUAAGGAGAUGGAGGAAGUGGGAGUAA
rnacentral:lncRNA from 1 species